GAGUUAUUCAACUCAUCAACCCUGUGAACUUACCUAAACGUUGCUUCGGCGGGAACAGACGGCCCCGUGAAACGGGCCGCCCCCGCCAGAGGACCCCUAACUCUGUUUCUAUAAUGUUUCUUCUGAGUAAAACAAGCAAAUAAAUUAAAACUUUCAACAACGGAUCUCUUGGCUCUGGCAUCGAUGAAGAACGCAGCGAAAUGCGAUAAGUAAUGUGAAUUGCAGAAUUCAGUGAAUCAUCGAAUCUUUGAACGCACAUUGCGCCCGCCAGUAUUCUGGCGGGCAUGCCUGUUCGAGCGUCAUUACAACCCUCAGGCCCCCGGGCCUGGCGUUGGGGAUCGGCGGAGCCCCCCGUGGGCACACGCCGUCCCCCAAAUGCAGUGGCGGUCCCGCCGCAGCUUCCAUCGCGUAGUAGCUAACACCUCGCGACUGGAGAGCGGCGCGGCCACGCCGUAAAACACCCAACUCUUCUGAAG
rnacentral:rRNA from 1 species